GGCUGCAACUCGCCUACAUGGAGUCGGAAUUGCUAGUAAUCGCGGAUCAGCAUGCCGCGGUGAAUACGUUCCCGGGCCUUGUACACACCGCCCGUCACACCAUGGGAGUCGGUAACACCCGAAGCCUGUAGUCUAACCGCAAGGAGGACGCAGUCGAAGGUGGGAUUGAUGACUGGGGUGAAGUCGUAACAAGGUAGC
rnacentral:rRNA from 1 species